UGGCGGGCCGUCAAAGGGGCUGUGAGAUGCGUUUUAUGCUUGCCAUAUCACAGCCACUUUUGAUGAGCCCGCUGCU